UGUCGUAUAUGCAUAUCAUGUACGGGGUGAAAUGCCGAACUAACCAUAGAAUGCUUAACGAGCUUACGCAAACGAGCAUGCGUAGCCAGACUUUUUCGGGUAAGGUUAGAUGCCUGAGGGUAAUUGGGAAGUGACCUCACACCUUCUAAACAAGGGUGAGUCCUCACUCGCCUUCCACCCACCACUCUCCCUUUUUUUUUGUAUAUACAUCAUCUGGAAAAACAUAACAAAAGCUACUCGCAGUUUCUGAAGAAUCACGCCGAACUGCAGUAACCAUCCAAUGUCAAAUUUGUAUUCAGUGUCAAUAUAUUUUUCUUUUAUUUGUUAUAAUAAAUCUCUAUUAUAC
rnacentral:lncRNA from 1 species